AAAAGUCUCGUUGGUGACCAGCGGAGGGUCAUUACCGAGUUUACAACUCCCAAACCCAAUGUGAACCAUACCAAACUGUUGCCUCGGCGGGGUCACGCCCCGGGUGCGUCGCAGCCCCGGAACCAGGCGCCCGCCGGAGGGACCAACCAAACUCUUUUCUGUAGUCCCCUCGCGGACGUUAUUUCUUACAGCUCUGAGCAAAAAUUCAAAAUGAAUCAAAACUUUCAACAACGGAUCUCUUGGUUCUGGCAUCGAUGAAGAACGCAGCGAAAUGCGAUAAGUAAUGUGAAUUGCAGAAUUCAGUGAAUCAUCGAAUCUUUGAACGCACAUUGCGCCCGCCAGUAUUCUGGCGGGCAUGCCUGUCCGAGCGUCAUUUCAACCCUCGAACCCCUCCGGGGGGUCGGCGUUGGGGACCUCGGGAGCCCCUAAGACGGGAUCCCGGCCCCGAAAUACAGUGGCGGUCUCGCCGCAGCCUCUCCUGCGCAGUAGUUUGCACAACUCGCACCGGGAGCGCGGCGCGUCCACGUCCGUAAAACACCCAACUUUCUGAAAUGUUGACCUCGGAUCAGGUAGGAAUACCCGCUGAACUUAAGCAUAUCAAUAAGCGGAGGA
rnacentral:rRNA from 1 species